GCUACUUGUUAGAUUGAUAGCUGGUGUUGUAGAGCUCUACCAUAUCGCCCUUAAUCUGAUUAAGUUGGGUCCCUGUUGAAGCAAAGGAGGAACCCUAGGACAUCGUUUUGNNNNNCUUAUAUGGCCUCAUUUAAGCGUAGAUUGGUAUGUUAUCUGCUACUGUGAGGUAUCCCUAGCGGAGUUGCGAUGGACCUCGACGUUGGGUCAUCUGGUUACUUUGGUGCCCAGGCAGCNGCUCGUGUGAGGAUGAUAAGAUCCGAAUCUUGAUCAUCUAGGUUGGGUUAUUUGAUGUAGGGCUCUUGUAAGUUGUAAUAAGCGAUGGGUCUGGUUAUUAGAGUUAGGGUUCUGCUUUUGGGUCUUUAUUCAGUAAUGGGCCUGAACUUUAGUUUGGAGUUAUUUUUAGGCCUAUU
rnacentral:misc_RNA from 1 species